rnacentral:tRNA from 1 species
CAAAUUAAAGCUAAAGUGUAGUAUUUUAUUUACAAUAAAAUUUUGAUUAAAAAUAAUAAUCUAAUUUGA